GGGCCUGUAGCUCAGCUGGUUAGAGCACACGCUUGAUAAGCGUGGGGUCACAAGUUCAAGUCUUGUCAGGCCCA
rnacentral:tRNA from 1 species